rnacentral:tRNA from 1 species
GAGGGUAUAGAUUAAUGGUAGAGCACAUGCUUAGCAUGUGGGAGGUCCUGGGUUUAAUCCCCAGUACCUCCA